ACGGGUGAGUAACGCGUGGGAACAUACCCUUUUCUACGGAAUAGCUCUGGGAAACUGGAAUUAAUACCGUAUACGCCCUACGGGGGAAAGAUUUAUCGGGGAAGGAUUGGCCCGCGUUGGAUUAGCUAGUUGGUGGGGUAAAGGCCUACCAAGGCGACGAUCCAUAGCUGGUCUGAGAGGAUGAUCAGCCACAUUGGGACUGAGACACGGCCCAAACUCCUACGGGAGGCGGCAGUGGGGAAUAUUGGACAAUGGGCGCAAGCCUGAUCCAGCCAUGCCGCGUGAGUGAUGAAGGCCUUAGGGUUGUAAAGCUCUUUCACCGAUGAAGAUAAUGACGGUAGUCGGAGAAGAAGCCCCGGCUAACUUCGUGCCAGCAGCCGCGGUAAUACGAAGGGGGCUAGCGUUGUUCGGAAUUACUGGGCGUAAAGCGCACGUAGGCGGAUAUUUAAGUCAGGGGUGAAAUCCCAGAGCUCAACUCUGGAACUGCCUUUGAUACUGGGUAUCUUGAGUAUGGAAGAGGUAAGUGGAAUUGCGAGUGUAGAGGUGAAAUUCGUAGA
rnacentral:rRNA from 1 species